ACGCUCGACACCUACGGGAGGUAGCAGUGGGGAAUAUUGCACAAUGGAGGAAACUCUGAUGCAGCGACGCCGCGUGGAGGAAGAAGGUCUUCGGAUUGUAAACUCCUGUUGUUGAGGACGAUAAUGACGGUACUCAACAAGGAAGUGACGGCUAACUACGUGCCUGCAGCCGCGGUAAUCUGAGCGGGCUGGCAAGGC
rnacentral:rRNA from 1 species